GAUGAACGCUGGCGGCAUGCCUAACACAUGCAAGUCGAGCGGCAGCGCAGUCUUCGGACGGGCGGCGAGCGGCGGACGGCUGAGUAACGCGUGGGAAUCUACCCCAAAGUGAGGGAUAACGCACCGAAAGGUGUGCUAAUACCGCAUACGGUCUUCGGAUUAAAGUUUUAACGCUCUGGGAAGAGCCCGCGUACUAUUAGAUAGUUGGUGAGGUAAAGGCUCACCAAGUCGACGAUGGUUAACUGGUCUGAGAGGAUGAUCAGUCAGAUUGGAACUGAGACACGGUCCAAACUCCUACGGGAGGCAGCAGUGAGGAAUAUUCCGCAAUGGGGGAAACCCUGACGGAGCAAUGCCGCGUGCAGGAUGAAGGCCCUCGGGUCGUAAACUGCUUUUAUAUGAGAAGAAUAUGACGGUAACAUAUGAAUAAGGGACGGCUAACUACGUGCCAGCAGCCGCGGUCAUACGUAGGUCCCAAGCGUUAUCCGGAGUGACUGGGCGUAAAGAGUUGCGUAGGCGGCUCGUUAAGCGUGAAAUGAAAUUUAUCGGCUCAACCGGUAAACUAUUUCGCGAACUGACGGGCUCGAGAGUAUGAGAGGUUACUGGAAUUUCUAGUGUAGCAGUGAAAUGCGUAGAUAUUAGAAAGAACACCAACGGCGUAGGCAGGUAACUGGCAUACAUCUGACGCUGAGGCACGAAAGCGUGGGGAGCGAACCGGAUUAGAUACCCGGGUAGUCCACGCCGUAAACGAUGAAUGUUAAUUGUCGGAGGUAUCGACCCCUUCGGUAAUAAAGCUAACGCGUUAAACAUUCCGCCUGUGGAGUACGGCCGCAAGGCUAAAACAUAAAGGAAUUGACGGGGACCCGCACAAGCGGUGGAGCGUGUUCUUUAAUUCGAUGAUAAACGAAGAACCUUACCAGGGCUUGACAUCCCUAUAACCGAAAUACGAAAGUAUUUUUUCAUUUAGUUGGAUAGGUGACAGGUGAUGCAUGGCCGUCGUCAGCUCGUGUCGUGAGAUGUUUGGUUAAGUCCAUCAACGAGCGCAACCCUUGUCGUGUGUUGUAUUUUUCACACGAAACUGCCUCUGCAAGGAGGAGGAAGGAGGGGAUGAUGUCAGGUCAGUAUUUCCCUUACGUCCUGGGCUAGAAACGCGCUACAAUGGCCGGUACAACGGGCAGCGAAACAGCAAUGUGGAGCAAAUCCCAACAAAGCCGGUCCCAGUUCGGAUAAGAGGCUGAAACUCGCCUCUUUGAAGUCGGAAUCGCUAGUAAUCGCAGAUCAGCACGCUGCGGUGAAUACGUUCCCGGGUCUUGUACACACCGCCCGUCAAACCAUGAAAGUCAGGAGCACCCGACGUCCGAAUUUAUUUCGGCCUAAGGUGAGCUUGGUGAUUGGGGUU
rnacentral:rRNA from 1 species